GCUCAGAUGUCAAUACAUCUCCUAAGAGCAUUAGAAAGCGGUCCUUGUUAAUACUCUUACUUACACUGUUAAAGGAGAAUCUUACUUCCUGAGAACCAGACUAAAUCAUCGUGUUUUUCACUUCACCUUGCUUAAAUAAACAGAGCUGCCAAAAUCUGAUGGAUCUUUCAUAACGCCAGUACUAAAAAGCUUAGUAUAAGCAUGUGAAAAUUCAAAAUUUUCAGGCUUCCCUUAAAAAGUAGGUUUGGCCUUUGUUCUUGUCUUCCUCAAUAACUUGGAUCUGAAUGCUGCAUUAUUUUCCAGCUACAACCUAAGAAUGGUUUACAUUAUCAAAAAACUUUACCUAUGGGAGAAAUAGACAGCACAAGCAAACUAUAUUUGUGGAAAAGUGGACUCCUGAUUAAAUAAAAACAGAUCUUAAAAAGAGGAUGUAGAAGCCUGGGAUUUUGAGAAAGGAUCAGAGGGACUAUCACGAAGAGUUUAAAUAUGGGACACAGAUGAAGACGUAAAUAAGUUACGGCGAUAAUUUGUCAAGAGUUCCAGCUGUCGAUCUUCACCAGAUGAAUCUUCUCCAAUUACUGGCGGGAGUAUUUGACCCACCAGGCGACUUCCCUGAGUUGAACCACUUUUCUAAUGAUUCUAACUGUGGACAGUCCAAGUUGGCCAUAUGAGAAUUUGAACACGGCGGUGAUUUCUGAACAGUGUAGAUCAUGUCCAUGUGUCUGGCUGGACUUGUUUGCCCUGUGUCCAUUCCUUCAGCCUAAUUGAUUGUGACUCAAGUGGUAUUCUUUUGAAAGAUGAGGCCCAGACGGCAGUGGGUGAUGUCUUCAAUUUCCAACCAAAGGGCCCUAAAGGAGCCAGAACGGAUUUCCAGAAAGAGCCUUAAACCAAAAGAACGUACCUAUAAUGGAAGGCAGCCUCUCCUGGGAGACAAGUGGUCGUAGGAACCUUCUUUUUACUCCUCGGUUCACACCCUGUAGUCACCAUAAAAUUGCAACAUUUGAGCCAGAACAAUUUAUCUCAGGAACUAAUUGAAAACUAGACCAAGAAAAGAAGAAGUAAAAACAACUGGAAUUUUCCCUCUCUCACUGUAAAAAUAAAUGUCAUUCUCCCAUGACCA